UUUAGAGUUUGAAUCAUGCUCAGGAUGAACGCUGGCGGCGUGCCUAAUACAUGCAAGUCGAACGAACUUCCAGUUAAUUGAUUAUGACGUACUUGUACUGAUUGAGAUUUUAACACGAAGUGAGUGGCGAACGGGUGAGUAACACGUGGGUAACCUGCCCAGAAGUAGGGGAUAACACCUGGAAACAGAUGCUAAUACCGUAUAACAGAGAAAACCGCAUGGUUUUCUUUUAAAAGAUGGCUCUGCUAUCACUUCUGGAUGGACCCGCGGCGUAUUAGCUAGUUGGUGAGGUAAAGGCUCACCAAGGCAGUGAUACGUAGCCGACCUGAGAGGGUAAUCGGCCACAUUGGGACUGAGACACGGCCCAGACUCCUACGGGAGGCAGCAGUAGGGAAUCUUCCACAAUGGACGCAAGUCUGAUGGAGCAACGCCGCGUGAGUGAAGAAGGGUUUCGGCUCGUAAAGCUCUGUUGUUAAAGAAGAACGUGGGUAAGAGUAACUGUUUACCCAGUGACGGUAUUUAACCAGAAAGCCACGGCUAACUACGUGCCAGCAGCCGCGGUAAUACGUAGGUGGCAAGCGUUAUCCGGAUUUAUUGGGCGUAAAGCGAGCGCAGGCGGUCUUUUAAGUCUAAUGUGAAAGCCUUCGGCUCAACCGAAGAAGUGCAUUGGAAACUGGGAGACUUGAGUGCAGAAGAGGACAGUGGAACUCCAUGUGUAGCGGUGAAAUGCGUAGAUAUAUGGAAGAACACCAGUGGCGAAGGCGGCUGUCUGGUCUGCAACUGACGCUGAGGCUCGAAAGCAUGGGUAGCGAACAGGAUUAGAUACCCUGGUAGUCCAUGCCGUAAACGAUGAUUACUAAGUGUUGGAGGGUUUCCGCCCUUCAGUGCUGCAGCUAACGCAUUAAGUAAUCCGCCUGGGGAGUACGACCGCAAGGUUGAAACUCCAAAGAAUUGACGGGGGCCCGCACAAGCGGUGGAGCAUGUGGUUUAAUUCGAAGCUACGCGAAGAACCU
rnacentral:rRNA from 1 species